GCCUGCUUCAGCAGCGCAUAUACUAACAUCAGAAUGAUACAAAGAAGAUUAGCAGGGCCCCUGCUCAAGGAUGGCUGCAAUUUGUGAAACGUUCCAUACUUUU